AUGCCGCUGUUAGAUCAAUGGAACGAGCUUAAAGCUAUAGUUGACUCCUGGGUGCUGUCGGAGGAACCUGAUCAGGUUAUUUGGACUCUGGGUAAGAAGAAAAAAUUUACGACCAGGUCGGUCUACGAUCACCUGGAAAGAAACUUGUCAGGGUGUAAUUAUAGGUGGAUUUGGCAAACAAACAUCCCCUUAAAGAUCCAAAUAUUCCUGUGGCAAGUCUUCCAGGACACUAUCCUGACUAGGGACGUCAUGAGCAAAAGACGUUGGGCAGGCAACCCCAGAUGA
rnacentral:rRNA from 1 species